UAUUCGUUUUUCAACUGAAAUUUAAACCACACGUAUACUUUUGAGAGCCAAAAGAAACCGAAAAGGAAAAUGCUUCUCUGCAACCUUUCACCGAUUUUUCCUAUUCAAUCUCCACCAAACCCUAAUAAACCCUCCUUCACCACCGCAAUUAAAUCCAUUUCCGCCAACAGAGCCGCCGCAUCUCCAUCUCCGAGGAAAGCCACGUCAUCAGCCUCUGAAGCUCGCGUCUCGCUCAUAUUUGCUCUCGCUUCUCAAGCCUCUAAUGUGUCACAGCGACUUUUGCUGGAUUUGGCUAAUGAGACUGCGAAAUAUGUAUUUCCUAAGAGGUUUGAGAGCCGGAAUUUGGAGGAAGCACUCAUGGCAGUUCCCGAUCUCGAAACAGUGGAAUAUAAAGUGCUAAGUAGGAGAGACCGUUAUGAGAUUAGAGAAGUUGAGCCUUAUUUUAUAGCAGAGACGAUAAUGCCUGGAAAGACUGGAUUCGAUUUCAAUGGUGCAUCCCAGUCUUUUAAUGUCUUAGCUGAGUACUUGUUUGGUAAGAAUACAAAAACGGAGCGAAUGGAAAUGACUACUCCUGUUUUCACACGUAAGGCUCAGUCUGAUGGAGAGAAAAUGGAAAUGACAACACCUGUGAUAACGAAGAAGGUGGAAGAUCAGGAUAAGUGGAAGAUGUCCUUUGUGAUGCCUUCCAAGUAUGGUGCUGAUUUGCCAUUGCCUAAAGAUACAACUGUGAAGAUAAAAGAAAUGCCAAAGAAAAUAAUCGCAGUUCUAGCAUUUUCAGGUUUUGUUACCGAUGAAGAUGUUAAACAAUGGGAAUCGAAGUUACGAAAUGCAUUGAAAAAUGAUCAUCAGUUUAGGAUUAAAAGGGGCGCUUCAGUGGAAAUUGCACAGUACAAUCCUCCAUUCACGCUUCCAUUUCAGCGACGUAAUGAGAUAUCAUUAGAAGUCGAAAGGAAAGAAGAAUAACUAUUUAAUUAUAGAAUCUGGAAGUAUACAAUUUACAUAUGCUCAAAUCAGUUUUAGUCCAUUGUUCAAGAGAAGGUCUUCUGAUGGUAAAGCUAUUAUAGUUUCAUUAGCGCCAAACCUGCAAGAUUAAUUUUUACUGAGCUCUGAAAAGCGGAACUGGAAACAUGCUGCCUAAUAUACUGCAGAAACUAUAUCUGUAUCGUAUAAUUCCUUCAUAUUGGGGAUUUUUGCUAGACCUUAAUCAUGUCAUGUUAGUGAACCACCGAUCCUCAUAGUGGAUGAUGAAGAUAGUGGAGUUUGAAAAUGUGACCGCCCUAUGAGAUUCUUCAUUGGAGAGAUGCGUAUGAUAAUAAAAAAAUAUUUGUUAUUCAAUUCUUAUUGAGAAUGCAUGAUUAUUUGUUGUAUAGUUUGACUUUAUAAGGUACCCUUUUUGCGGUUUAUCUAGACUGUUAGAAAUGUCCCUUAGGUUUGCAACAAUCUUUCUUUGUGUUAUGGGAGUUAAAGUAGGUUGUAGCAGAUGUUGCACACUUUUGACACAAAUCAAUUCUUAAGCUUGGUGCAAGCAAACUUUAUCCACUUUAUUUUUAUAUCUACAUUGGUGUGAUGUUAGUUGUCCUGUUAGUUAAUACAUCAAGUGCAAAUGUUAAUAAGCUAUGUCACCCUUGCCAUCACGGUAGGAACUAAGGCACUGUGGAACAAUCCUUGUCCUUGAUGGUUUACAUUUUGGAUGGAAGAUUUUAUUUAUCAUCAUGAUCACUUAGAAAAAUAAAAAAUUUCAAUCCAUAACAUCAUUAUUAAAGAGACAACUAUACCCUUUUAUUUCUUAAAGCUUUUCUAUGACCUGGCAGGUGUUGGACUGCUUCUUAUCGGUUAGUUUAUGACAUUUUAAAUUCAUCUUGCUAUCAAAUUCAGCAUGGUAAUGUUUGAUUCUUGGAAAAAUUGUUUCUGUAAUGUGAAACUAGAAGUUUGUUUGGCUCUCAGGUUUAGAUUGUAAUACCAAUUCUUGGCCUAGUGAACAAUUCAUGAGUGAAGAUUUUCCAAUGAUUCAGUUGAUUUGGUUUCAUGUAUUUGUGUAUAAUUUAGUAGUUAAUAUUUGCAUGCUUUUCAAUAAACUGAGUUUGUAUUACUUGAUUGAAUAAUACGCCUGAGCUGUUCAGCCUAACUCUAUGAGAAAGAGUUGAUGCAGCAUGAACUCCAUUUCCUAAUAGUAUAUGGAUGUCAAAUCUGAUAAACCAUAUAAGCUACUUGGAGAUAAGAGUACUGAAAGAUAUGAUUGUAAUAUCAAGUGAAUUUUUGAUCGGAAAUGAAAAUGAAAAGAAUUGGAUUUAACUGCUUAAUUUGCGAAGGUUAAUGAUGUUUUUUAAUUAUUAUUAGGUCAUCCCUUAAAGCUUUUAUUUCUCAUUUUUUCCCUUUCACUCAUUUCAAGCUGUUCUUAUUUGGUUUAUACUAGGAUUACGCACCCUUUCAUUAAGGCUCAAACACAAAAAUGUUGAAAUAAGUUAUAAUUUGAAUGUUAAUAAUUGAUUUGGUUGAUAUGUUAGCUGCAGAUUCUAUUGAUUUCAAAGCAAGAAAACAUGAUAACACUUGUGUCGAGAACACAGGUUAAACUGCAUAAUUCCAGUAUCUUUUGGUAUACACUAUCUGUUGUUUGUUUAAACUUAAUUCAUGUUUUACUAGUCUACUUCUGGUAUGCUUUCUAAUACAGGCUUCCAAUUUUUAUUAUUAUCAUCAUUAUCAGAUGUAUCAACUAUCUGAACCUUCUGCUGACUCUGAAGCUGAGAAACCAUGUUAUUAACAGAAACUCCUCCCUUUUGCAGAAUUUCUUGCAGUUCUUGCUUACUUAUGACCAAUUUAAUUCUAACAACUCCAGUUUCUUGUUUAUGUUCCUCUUCUGGAAUUGAAAAUCUUACUUUCUUCUUAGCUUGUACAGAUGGUAAAGGCAGAGGUACAAGAUAGUAGAAGCUACCACCGUGCAGUUUGGUUUCUGGAGUUAUGUUUAAGUGGAUUAUUGCCAAAUCCCAAUUUUUACGGUGGAGGAUUAGCUAGAUUUUGUUGGACCACCUAAGUGGCUGACCACUAGUGCACCAUGGAUCUGGUUGACUGCAAUUUGUACAACAACAUUGACUAUCUGAUUCUUCAUGCAGUAACAUCAUCAACAUGCAUUGGAUAUGGCAAAUAAGGCAAGGUAUCUCUGAGUGGUACAAAUUUAGGUUAUGAAGCAAAGAGAAUGACAACAUUGAAAGUUCUGAUUUAUUAUGACGGAGUAUGGAAGGAAGAUCUUUAUGUAGACAUUGGUUUUACUUUUCAAUUAACUAAUAGUAUACUACGAAUCAUUAAAAAAUAUCAAUUUGUUCUUAAUAACUUAACAUUAGGUUGAAAAAUAAAAUUAAUAAGAAAUUAACA